rnacentral:lncRNA from 1 species
GAACUGUAGCCAAUUAAAGAGCCGAGAGAGACUUACGCUUGGAGUCUGUUAAGUGGGUGAUUCCUUUAACCGGGUAAUUCUUCUAAGCGGGUAAUUCCUUUAAGCAGGACCCUUCACAGCCCUGGAAAACUGAAGACCAUCUAGGAACUCUUGAACUGUUUCAAAUUGUUUUCAAAUGGGUCUGAAUGCUGUUGAGAAAUGCAUAAUUUACGACCUUAACACUUGAUUAGGUGUUAAACGACUGUCAGGAGAGAUGUCCUUGGUAAUCCAGUUAUCAUCUAGACUCUAAUUAUCGCUUCACAGGAGAAGUGAGGCUGGAUAAUUGAGAACCAAAAUUCUUAAAGGGCUUGAAGUGGCCAUUUUCUUAUGCAGUUAAGCAAAUUAUUUCUCUACCUAGAAGGUGUCUAAUUGGUGCCAAUUGAUGGGAAGGAAGAAAUGGUGUUAUGUCAUUCAGGAGUGAGUCAGGGGGCUCCAGCCAAGGCAAUGGAAAGUUAACACUGAGUACUGAGAGAUGGCCCCAGUUUAAAAAUGCUCGCUUUAUUAAAAUAUGUGUUAAAGGAGAGAGAGAGAGAGAGAGAGAGAGAGAGAGAGAGAGAGAGAGAGAGAGGGAAGGCAAGAGAGAGCCAAGAGAAGACAGAAUGUAAUUAAGAGCUGAUGACCAAACCUCUCCCCCGUCUGCCAUUACUAAGGAUUUUUCUCAGAUGAGACCCCAUUUCACCUUGUGUUAGUUCUCACGGAUCACUAUAAAUUAUUUAAGCCACAAAUGCUGUGCCAUCCAUUAAACCAAGGAUGGGGAGAAUUGGCCAAAUCUGCCUGAGAAAAGGUCCCUCUCUCACUGCAUUCAGUAAGAAAUAAGAGGAAGAGGACACAGGUAAAGAGAUUCCAUUCUGUAUCAGUUUUCCAGCUUUCUCUGCCUUCUACUCCCAGCUUUCUGAGCAGCACUUCUGAGGGCUAGUGAUAUGGAAAUGGGAGUAUAAGACCUGAUCCUUAUCUUUGGCAAUUUCCAUUCUGUAAAAACAAAACAAUACAACAGCAAUGGCAAACUGAUGGGAAUAUAUAAAUACUUUUCCUUCCAAAUUUGGGGUGAUGUGUUAGAUGCUGGAGAGGGGGAGAUCAGAUGACCCUGGUUACUAAUAAAGUUGAUUGGAGCCUAUGGGUUAGAUUCGGGGCCAAAUGGGUUUGCCUUUUUAGCAGGGAGAUCAGCAGUUACCUCCAGUCAAUGGCACAGCUAGUCAACUGCAGGCAUCCUCUGUGAUACAGGAGUGGGGAGUGGCCGUCCACCAUGGCAGAGAGCACACUAGAAGGCAGUAUCCUCUGGUCAGGCUGGUUCCCAAGGAACCUCCAUAACUGAUCAGAUAAGUCAUGGCUGCUGUGGACCCGAGAGGGAGGUAAGGGCCAGAGUGUCAUCCCAGUGAAAGUCCCUCUGCUUGAAAACAUGAGGUUCCUCCCUGAGGGAGAGGCCUGGAAAGGAAUGUUAAGUGGAGACUAAAUUAGGUGCUUAAUUCACUGCUUUUAUGGAUUUGGGUUCAGAAGUGCAAUUCUAUCUAUCCACGGUUCUGAAAACAGGCCAUAUCCUGAAUAGUCCAGGGAACUAAAAAUGCACAGAACCAACCCACCCCAGAGGAACUAUCUUCUUAUGCCUUCGAUGUAGAAAGUGUGUAGCCUGCCCCUGAUUGUUAAGUGUCAAUUUGAUACAGCAAACGUCAUAGGGAGCGGGGCAGUUUUCUAGUUUCUUCUGAUUUUUCUUAUUUCCUUCUUUAUAGAAUAUAUAAAUACUUUUACCUGGCUAUAAAUGGCAUGUUUACUAUGGAAUAUUUGGAAGAUACACAAAGAUAUAAUGAAGAAAAUAAAAGCCACCUGUUAUCAUUCAAAGAUACCACCAAUACCAUUUAGUUUUUUUUUCUUUUUUUUUUUUUGUACCAGAGAUUGAAUAAAGGGGCACUUGACCACUGAGCCGCAUCCCCAUCCCUAUUUUGUAUUUUAUUUAGAGACUGGGUCUCACUGAGUUGCUUGGUGCCUUGCUUUUGCUGAGUCUGGCUUUGAACUUUCGAUCCUCCUGCCUCAGCCUCCCCAGCAUCUGGGAUUAC